GAUGAACGCUGGCGGCGCGCCUAACACAUGCAAGUCGAACGGCACCCCUCUCCGGAGGGAAGCGAGUGGCGAACGGCUGAGUAACACGUGGAGAACCUGCCCCCUCCCCCGGGAUAGCCGCCCGAAAGGACGGGUAAUACCGGAUACCCCGGGGUGCCGCAUGGCACCCCGGCUAAAGCCCCGACGGGAGGGGAUGGCUCCGCGGCCCAUCAGGUAGACGGCGGGGUGACGGCCCACCGUGCCGACAACGGGUAGCCGGGUUGAGAGACCGACCGGCCAGAUUGGGACUGAGACACGGCCCAGACUCCUACGGGAGGCAGCAGUGGGGAAUCUUGCGCAAUGGGGGGAACCCUGACGCAGCGACGCCGCGUGCGGGACGGAGGCCUUCGGGUCGUAAACCGCUUUCAGCAGGGAAGAGUCAAGACUGUACCUGCAGAAGA
rnacentral:rRNA from 1 species